rnacentral:rRNA from 1 species
CCUACGGGUGGCUGCAGUAAGGAAUAUUGGUCAAUGGAGGAAACUCUGAACCAGCCAUCCCGCGUGAAGGAUGAAGGGGCUCUGCCUUGUAAACUUCUUUUGUCUGGGGCGAAAAAGCUCGAUUUAUCGAGAACUGACGGUACCAGAAGAAUAAGCACCGGCUAACUCCGUGCCAGCAGCCGCGGUACUACGGAGGGUGCCGGAAUUAUCCGGAAUCACUGGGUUUAAGGGGGCUUUGGGCGUCUGAGUUGAAAGGCUGUGGCUUAACCAUGGAAUUGCCAUUGAUACUGCAGAGCUUGAAUGAGGUUGAGGUUGGCGGAAUGUGACAUGUAGCGGUGAAAUGCUUAGAUAUGUCAUGGAACACCGAUUGCGAAGGCAGCUGACUGGACCUAUAUUGACGCUGAGGCACGAAAGCGUGGGGAGCGAACAGGAUUAGAUACCCGUGUAGUC